AUUGAACGCUGGCGGCAGGCCUACCACAUGCAAGUCGAACGAGUGGCGGACGGGUGAGUAAUGUCUGGGAAACUGCCUGAUGGAGGGGGAUAACUACUGGAAACGGUAGCUAAUACCGCAUACCAUCAGAUGUGCCCAGAUGGGAUUAGCUUGUUGGUGGGGUAACGGCUCACCAAGGCGACGAUCCCUAGCUGGUCUGAGAGGAUGACAAGCAACACUGGAACGGAGACACGGUCCAGAAGACUACGGGAGGAAGCAGUGGGGAAUAUGGCAAAAUGGGCGAAAGCCUGAGGCAGCCAUGCCGCGUGUAGGAAGAAGGCCUGCGGGUUGUAAAGUACUGUCAGUGGGGAGGCGUUACCCGCAGAAGAAGCACCGGCUAACUCCGUGCCAGCAGCCGCGGUAAUAC
rnacentral:rRNA from 1 species